AUGUACCGCUCGUACACUCCGGCCCCGCGCGCCGUCCGUGCCCAUCCGGCGACUGCCCGUCAUCGUGUGUUGGCC
rnacentral:sRNA from 1 species